UUGUAGUCUGCAACCCGACUACAUGAAGCUGGAAUCGCUAGUAAUCGCGAAUCAGAAUGUCGCGGUGAAUACGUUCCCGGGUCUUGUACACACCGCCCGUCACACCAUGGGAGUCGGAAAUGCCCGAAGUCAGUGACCUAACCGAAAGGGAGGAGCUGCCGAAGGUGGAGCCGGUAACUGGGGUGAAGUCGUAACAAGGUAGC
rnacentral:rRNA from 1 species